CCUACGGGAGGCAGCAGUGAGGAAUAUUGGUCAAUGGCCGCAAGGCUGAACCAGCCAAGUCGCGUGAGGGAUGACGGUCCUAUGGAUUGUAAACCUCUUUUGUCAGGGAGCAAAGGGCGCCACGUGUGGCGCUUUGCGAGUACCUUAAGAAAAAGCAUCGGCUAACUCCGUGCCAGCAGCCGCGGUAAUACGGAGGAUGCGAGCGUUAUCCGGAUUUAUUGGGUUUAAAGGGUGCGCAGGCGGAAUGUAAAGUCAGCGGUAAAAUUUCGGGGCUCAACCCCGUAGUGCCGUUGAAACUGGGGUUCUGGAGUGAAGGAGAGGUAUGCGGAAUGCGUGGUGUAGCGGUGAAAUGCAUAGAUAUCACGCAGAACUCCGAUGGCGAAGGCAGCAUACCGGAGCUCAACUGACGCUCAUGCACGAAAGCGUGGGUAUCGAACAGGAUUAGAUACCCGAGUAGUC
rnacentral:rRNA from 1 species